rnacentral:tRNA from 1 species
GCGCGCUUAGCUCAGCGGGAGAGCACUGCCUUCACACGGCAGGGGUCACUGGUUCAAUCCCAGUAGCGCGCACCA